rnacentral:rRNA from 1 species
AACGUGGAGACAGGUGGUGCACGGCUGUCGUCAGCUCGUGUCGUGAGAUGUUGGGUUAAGUCCCGCAACGAGCGCAACCCUCACCCCUAGUUGCGACCGGGUUAUGCCGAGCACUCGAGGGGAACUGCCAGCGUCAAGCUGGAGGAAGGCGGGGAUGACGUCAAGUCAUCAUGCCCCUUACGUCCUGGGCUACACACGUACUACAAUGGCCGGUACAAAGGGAUGCCACACCGCGAGGUAGAGCUAAACCCAAAAAGCCGGUCUAAGUUCAGAUUGGAGUCUGCAACUCGACUCCAUGAAGGAGGAAUCGCUAGUAAUCGCGUAUCAGCACGACGCGGUGAAUACGUUCCCGGGCCUUGUACACACCGCCCGUCACACCACGAAAGCCUGCUGUACUCGAAGUCGCUGAG